rnacentral:rRNA from 1 species
UACGUAGGGUGCGAGCGUUGUCCGGAAUUAUUGGGCGUAAAGAGCUUGUAGGCGGUUUGUCGCGUCUGCUGUGAAAAUCCGGCGGCUUAACUGCGGGCUUGCAGUUGGAUACGGGCAGGCUAGAGGUUCGGUAGGGGAGACUGGAAUUCCUGGUGUAGGCGGUGAAAUGCGCAGAUAUCAGGAGGAACACCGGUGGGGAAGGCGGGAGUCG